CUCAAGCUCACGGGUCCUCUUGUUCGUGUUUUGAAGCUUGUUGAUAACGAGAGGAAGCCGGCCAUGGGGUUUAUUUAUGAGGCUAUGGAUAGAGCCAAAGAGGCUAUUGCAAAAGCCUUUAGUGAGGAUGCAAGCAAAUAUUCGGAGGUAUUUGAAUUGAUUGAUAAGAGAUGGAAUGUUCAACUACAUCAUCCUUUGCAUGCUGCAGGGUUUUACCUUAAUCCAAAUUUUUUCUAUGCCCACCCUAACAUUCAAGCCGAUAAGGAGAUCAUGAAAGGCCUCUGGGAAGUCAUUCAAAAGCUUGUGCCCCUACAUGAUCAAGAUAAAAUUUCUCAAGAGUUGACUUUAUACAAAGAAGCACAUGAUCUAUUUGGCAUGCCUAUAGCUAUUAGAAACCGAGAAAAGAAAUCUCCAGGUAAAAUAUAUCAAUUAAUUAUGUACACAUACUUUUUAGUUAAAUAAAUUAAUAAAUUAUCGUAUACUCGUAUUGAUUACUCAUUACUUUGUAUAUCUUGACAGCUGAUUGGUAGGAUUCUUACGGUGCAGCAACUCCGAUUCUGCAGAAACUUGCUAUAAGGAUCCUUAGUCUCACUUGUAGCUCCUCUGGGUGUGAAAGAAACUGGAGUACUUUUGAACAAAUACACACCAAGAAGAGAAAUAGGUUGGAUCACAAUAGAUUGCAGGAUCUAGUAUAUUGCAAAUAUAAUCAAGCUUUGAAGGAAAGAUUUGACUGCAGGGAUAUUGUUGAUCCAAUCAAGUUGACUGACAUAGAUGAAAGCAACGAGUGGUUGUUAGGUCAAUUUGGAGAGGGCGACAAUGCGGAAAAUGACUUGGUGGAUGAGGAGGAUGAUCUUAGAUGGGGUGUUGUAGGUGAAGCAACGGGAGUUGAAGAAGAUUUUGGACCAAGUUUAAGGUCUACUGCUAGGAUUCGAGGAUCUUCAAGUGGUGUUGCUUCGUCAUCUAGGAGGAGCGAGCCGGACUCGGAGGAUGAAGAAGAGUUUAAUGAAGAAGAGGAGGAAACUGAGGAUGAGGAAAUACCACUUCAGCUGGAUGACGAUGAUGAUGAGGAUGACUAGACACUUUGUUAUAUUGCUACUUGCCUACUUGCUUAUUUUAUUUCGUAGACUUUUGCUUAUGUUGGAUAUUAUCUUGCAUUGUGAUUUGUGAGAACUUAUGAACUUCUCUAUGUUAUGCAUGCUAAUUAAGACUCUUUCGUGAUUUAAUAGGUGAAAUUAUAUUUCUAGUCUUUUUAUGUGAUAAUUUAUAAACAUGUUGCUUAUAUCAUGUUCUUUUGUCUUAUGAUGCGCCUCGAUUUAGUGAGGCACGCGCCUCGUUGUGCGCCUUGCGCAUGGUGCGCGUAAGGGACCUUUGCGUCCCGCAUUGCGCAUCGCGCCUCGAUAACACUGAGCACAGAUGUGUUAUGAACAUGUGCAUCCAUUCUAGUGCUGGAGUUAUCUUCUACAACUCGAUAGAGGAGUCUGCUGAGUCUUAUACCGGCGAUUUUAUUUUUAAGUGGUUUGAUCAAUGCAUCCAGGAGAUAGGGACAGACUAUGUUGUACAAGUUGUCACCGAUAAUCACUUGGCAAAGAUGGCUGCAAAGGAGAAGCUAAAAAGUGAGAGGCUAAGAAUCUUUUGGACUUCUUGCGCGGCGCACACAACCAAUCUCAUGUUGCAGGACAUUGAAAAAUUGAAAGUUUCAAAAUACAAUUGAGAAGACUAGGGCGUUGACUGUUUUUAUCUAUAGCCACACUAGGACAUUGGCACUUAUGCGUAAGUGCACGAGGAGGAAGGAUAUUGUCAGGCCAGGCACCACUAGAUUUGCUACCUCAUUCCUCACACUAGGAAGCCUGCUGGAAAAGGAUACACUAAUGGCUAUGUUUAAUUCAGAUGAGUUUACGGGUUUGAAGUUUAUCGGGGGUGCAAAGAAUAAAGCUCCUACAACAAAUGCUACGGUAAUAUCAAGAUCCUUCUGGAGAGGUGUGAGGAGUUGCUUGAAGAUCUUCACGCCUCUUUUGAAGUUUCUUCGUGUGGUCGGUUCAGAUACUUGUCCCUCAAUGGGAUUUAUUAUUGGAGAGCUUCAAAUAGUGAAGAGGGAAAUCAUGUCUGCUUGGAAGAUAGAGAAG